GGGGAAAAAUUAAUAUAAAUAUAAAUUAAUAAAAGUAUUUUUAAUAUUAAAGUGGGGAUUUUAGUAUUAAUAAAGAAAAAAUUAAUAAAUUUAUAGUAAAUUAAGUAUUGUAAAAGAAUUUUGAAAUAUUUUAAAUAAAAAUUAGAGUUAAAGUAAAUUUAAUUUAUUGUAUCUUGUGUAUCAGAGUUUAUUUAAUAAAUUUAUUUAAUAAAAAUAUUUCUCGAAUUGAAAGGAGAUAAUUAAUUAAAAAAGUUAUUGUAGCAUAAAUAUUUUUAAUAAUUAAUUUGAAAUGAAAUGUUAAUCGUCUUUUAAGAUAUCUAGUUAUUUUAGAAUAAAAUUUAAUUUUAAAUUUAUUUUAAAAUUAAUUAAUUAAUUAAUUAAUUUUAAAUAAAAUUUUAUAUUUUAAGGGAUAAUCUUUAAAUUAAAUUUUUAUAAUAAAAAAUUUUUUUUUAUUUAAGAUUUUUAAAAUUUAUAUUGUUUAAAAAUUUUAGUUUAUUAUAAAUAAUCUUAUAUUAAUUAAAAUUUAAUUUAAUUUAAAUUUUUAUAAAAUGAAAUUAUUUUUAAUAUUAAAAAAUGAAAUAUAAUGAUAAAAUUAGUAUAUUUAAAUAUAAAAUUAAUUAUAAAUUUAAAAUUAAUAAAAAGGAAUUCGGCAAAAAAUUAUAUUCACUUGUUUAUCAAAAACAUGUCUUUUUGUUUAUAUAAUUUAAAGUCUAAUCUGCCCACUGAUAUUAAAUUAAAGGGCUGCAGUAUUUUGACUGUACAAAGGUAGCAUAAUCAUUAGUCUCUUAAAUGGUGACUUGUAUGAAAGAUUGGAUGAGAUAUAUACUGUCUCUUUAUUAAUAAUAGAAUUUAAUUUUUUAAUUAAAAAGUUAAAAUAAAUUUAAAAGACGAGAAGACCCCAUAGAGUUUAAUAUUUUUAUAAAUUUAAAUUAUUUAUGAUAUAAAAAUAAAAAUUUAUAAAAAUAUUUUGUUGGGGUGAUAGAAAAAUAAAUAAAACUUUUUUUAAAAAUUAUACAUUUAUAAGUGAGUAAUUGAUCCAAAAUUUUUGAUUAAAAGAAAAAAUUACCUUGGGGAUAACAGCGUAAUUUUUUCUUUUAGUUCAUAUAAAAGAAAAAGUUUGCGACCUCGAUGUUGGAUUAAGAUAAAAUUUAAAUGCAAAAGUUUAAAAUUUUGAUCUGUUCGAUCAUUAAAAUCUUACAUGAUCUGAGUUCAAACCGGUGUGAGCCAGGUUGGUUUCUAUCUUUAAAAAAAUAAAAUAUUUUAGUACGAAAGGAUCAAAUAUUUAAAUUAAAUUUAUUUAAAUGAAUAUUAAUAAAAUAGUUUAAUAAGUUAA
rnacentral:rRNA from 1 species